GCCAGGCGUGGUGGUGCACACCUGUAAUCCUAGUGGCUCGGGAGCCUGAGGCAGGAGAAUCAUGAGUUCAAAGCCAGCCUCAGCAACUUAUGGAGGCCUUAAACAACUCAGCUAGACCCUGUCUCUA
rnacentral:sRNA from 1 species